UGGGGAAUUUUACGCAAUGGGGGAAACCCUGACGUAGCGACACCGCGUGAGCGAAGAAGCCCUUUGGGGUGUAAAGCUCUGUCAACAGGAACGAAAAAAAUGACGGUACCUGUGGAGGAAGCAUCGGCUAACUACGUGCCAGCAGCCGCGGUAAGACGUAGGAUGCAAGCGUUGUCCGGAUUUAUUGGGCGUAAAGAGUUCGUAGGCGGUUUGUUAAGUCUGAUGUUAAAGACCGGGGCUCAACCUCGGAAAUGCAUUGGAUACUGGCAGACUGGAGUGCAGUAGAGGCUAGUGGAAUUCCCAGUGUAGCGGUGAAAUGCGUAGAUAUUGGGAAGAACACCGGUGGCGUAGGCGACUAGCUGGGCUGUAACUGACGCUGAGGAACGAAAGCCAGGGGAGCAAAUGGG
rnacentral:rRNA from 1 species